rnacentral:rRNA from 1 species
AGAGUUUGAUCCUGGCUCAGAUUGAACGCUGGCGGCAGGCCUAACACAUGCAAGUCGAGCGGUAGCACAGAGAGCUUGCUCUCGGGUGACGAGCGGCGGACGGGUGAGUAAUGUCUGGGAAACUGCCUGAUGGAGGGGGAUAACUACUGGAAACGGUAGCUAAUACCGCAUAAUGUCGCAAGACCAAAGUGGGGGACCUUCGGGCCUCAUGCCAUCAGAUGUGCCCAGAUGGGAUUAGCUAGUAGGUGGGGUAACGGCUCACCUAGGCGACGAUCCCUAGCUGGUCUGAGAGGAUGACCAGCCACACUGGAACUGAGACACGGUCCAGACUCCUACGGGAGGCAGCAGUGGGGAAUAUUGCACAAUGGGCGCAAGCCUGAUGCAGCCAUGCCGCGUGUGUGAAGAAGGCCUUCGGGUUAUAAAGCACUUUCAGCGGGGAGGAAGGCGGUGAGGUUAAUAACCUCAUCGAUUGACGUUACCCGCAGAAGAAGCACCGGCUAACUCCGUGCCAGCAGCCGCGGUAAUACGGAGGGUGCAAGCGUUAAUCGGAAUUACUGGGCGUAAAGCGCACGCAGGCGGUCUGUCAAGUCGGAUGUGAAAUCCCCGGGCUUAACCUGGGAACUGCAUUCGAAACUGGCAGGCUAGAGUCUUGUAGAGGGGGGUAGAAUUCCAGGUGUAGCGGUGAAAUGCGUGGAGAUCUGGAGGAAUACCGGUGGCGAAGGCGGCCCCCUGGACAAAGACUGACGCUCAGGUGCGAAAGCGUGGGGAGCAAACAGGAUUAGAUACCCUGGUAGUCCACGCCGUAAACGAUGUCGAUUUGGAGGUUGUGCCCUUGAGGCGUGGCUUCCGGAGCUAACGCGUUAAAUCGACCGCCUGGGGAGUACGGCCGCAAGGUUAAAACUCAAAUGAAUUGACGGGGGCCCGCACAAGCGGUGGAGCAUGUGGUUUAAUUCGAUGCAACGCGAAGAACCUUACCUGGUCUUGACAUCCACAGAACUUUCCAGAGAUGGAUUGGUGCCUUCGGGAACUGUGAGACAGGUGCUGCAUGGCUGUCGUCAGCUCGUGUUGUGAAAUGUUGGGUUAAGUCCCGCAACGAGCGCAACCCUUAUCCUUUGUUGCCAGCGGUCCGGCCGGGAACUCAAAGGAGACUGCCAGUGAUAAACUGGAGGAAGGUGGGGAUGACGUCAAGUCAUCAUGGCCCUUACGACCAGGGCUACACACGUGCUACAAUGGCAUAUACAAAGAGAAGCGACCUCGCGAGAGCAAGCGGACCUCAUAAAGUAUGUCGUAGUCCGGAUUGGAGUCUGCAACUCGACUCCAUGAAGUCGGAAUCGCUAGUAAUCGUAGAUCAGAAUGCUACGGUGAAUACGUUCCCGGGCCUUGUACACACCGCCCGUCACACCAUGGGAGUGGGUUGCAAAAGAAGUAGGUAGCUUAACCUUCGGGAGGGCGCUUACCACUUUGUGAUUCAUGACUGGGGUGA